GACGAACCGUACGAACGUUAUUCGGAAUCACUGGGCUUAAAGGGUGCGUAGGCGGCGCGGCAAGUUGGGUGUGAAAGCCCUCGGCUUAACCGAGGAAUGGCGCCCAAUACUGCCGUGCUCGAGGGAGAUAUAGGUGAGCGGAACUUAGGGUGGAGCGGUGAAAUGCGUUGAUAUCCUAAGGAACACCGGUGGCGAAAGCGGCUCACUGGGUCUCUUCUGACGCUGAGGCACGAAAGCUAGGGUAGCGAACGGG
rnacentral:rRNA from 1 species